GAUGAACGCUGGCGGCGUGCCUAAUACAUGCAAGUCGAGCGAACAGACGAGGAGCGUGCUCCUCUGACGUUAGCGGCGGACGGGUGAGUAACACGUGGAUAACCUACCUAUAAGACUGGGAUAACUUCGGGAAACCGGAGCUAAUACCGGAUAAUAUAUUGAACCGCAUGGUUCAAUAGUGAAAGACGGUUUUGCUGUCACUUAUAGAUGGAUCCGCGCCGCAUUAGCUAGUUGGUAAGGUAACGGCUUACCAAGGCAACGAUGCGUAGCCGACCUGAGAGGGUGAUCGGCCACACUGGAACUGAGACACGGUCCAGACUCCUACGGGAGGCAGCAGUAGGGAAUCUUCCGCAAUGGGCGAAAGCUUGACGGAGCAACGCCGCGUGAGUGAUGAAGGUCUUCGGAUCGUAAAACUCUGUUAUUAGGGAAGAACAAAUGUGUAAGUAACUAUGCACGUCUUGACGGUACCUAAUCAGAAAGCCACGGCUAACUACGUG
rnacentral:rRNA from 1 species